AUGGAGAUGUAUAUAGCUCUGCAACACUCUUCUCUCAUUUACCUUCAUCAGCGAAGUACUUUAAGAGCACUCCUGUAUCUGCAGUGAUCACAUGGCCUCCUUUUUCACUGUAAUUCCCUUGAUUGAGUCUUUCCCUCAAUCCAGGGCAUCCAUGGAGUUCCUGCAGUGCUUUCUGAUGUGGAAAAGUAAUUGCAAGUUUUGCUGAAUACAGGUACAAAAUAUCACAGAAAACUCCUGACCGAAUUCUGUUGGAACUUUCUGUAGCUGCUACACACAACAUCAAUUUUGUCACUGAAGAACCGUUUAUGAUGAACAUUGCAAUUCCACCAGUUCUUCUUGGCUGCUACUACCCAUCAUUUCACACAGAUCUGGUUACACACGCACAAAAAAGUCAUCAAUGUAUUGGAAGAAGACAAAGAGAGAGACUGUUCCUGUUUAUGCAGAACUUCUGGAGAUGCAAUACAGAAGCCUUCACAGCAAGACCCAUGAUCCAAUACACUCACUUGAAAUUUCUGGCAAUGUCAUGGUUAGUGACUCUCCUUCUGAUACCUUUUCUAGUAGCUUCUGACUUAGCUUGCAAUAAGGCCUGUGAACUGACUUUGGUGAGAUGUGGAUAAAAAGCUCAUAAUACACUUAACCAACAGCAAAGUUUCACGGGGGAAAAACCCUUUGUUGUCUUACUUUCCCCCCCCCCCCUACAGCUUUUUGAGAUGAAAUUGUGAGUUGGAAGUAGAGGAUCCAAUGAAACUCAAGACUGAGGCUUUUAUUCACAGCU